UACGUAGGGUGCGAGCGUUAAUCGGAAUUACUGGGCGUAAAGCGUGCGCAGGCGGCUAUGCAAGACAGGUGUGAAAUCCCCGGGCUCAACCUGGGAACUGCAUUUGUGACUGCAUAGCUGGAGUGCGGCAGAGGGGGAUGGAAUUCCGCGUGUAGCAGUGAAAUGCGUAGAUAUGCGGAGGAACACCGAUGGCGAAGGCAAUCCCCUGGGCCUGCACUGACGCUCAUGCACGAAAGCGUGGGGAGCAAACAGG
rnacentral:rRNA from 1 species